rnacentral:lncRNA from 1 species
AGGGGGCCUCUAUUCAUAUCAAGAUUUUGAAGAAUCCUUUUUAAGAUUUUAAAGGUAGAUAUAAAGCUUUCUUCAGCUUCUCAUCUUCAAACUGAUGGGCAAAUAGAACGGUGUCGUGAUGUAAUAUGAUUAAUAAGUGAAAGAGUGUAGAAAUUAUUAUUUUAUAAAGAAUCAUAGUUCAAAUUAUUAUAGCAAAUUAUCUUAGAAAUAUAGAUCAAUAAUAAAAGAAUAGUAAAAUUUUAAAAAAUUAAUAUUGCUUUUUACAAAAUAAACUUCUAUUUACUUUGUAGGGCAUAAAUAUGGUAAAAUAAAGUAAAUUAGAACUACACACCUUUAACAACUCAGGGGUUCUUUUGGAGAUCAAAGAGUGGAAUUUGAUAGCAAACUUGGUAGGAUUUUUAUGAGCAUUGGUUUUGUAUGAUUUGAAUUUGUAAUGACUUUGUAAGAGCUUUACAAAAUUAAAAUUAUAUUUGAUGAUUUGGAUUUUUGUGAAAUAAAAUAAGUUUGAUAUUUUGGGCAAUUUCGAGAGUUUUGUAGGAGAUCUACAAGUGAAAUUUUGUGAGAUAAUGUUUAUAGGUUUUUUUAAUAUGUGUUGUAAAUUUUAGCUUGAUCUAAUGGUUGAAUUGAGGAUUAUUGAGGUUUAAGUGGAUCAAGUUCUCAAAAAGUAGACUUUUAGAUCUAAUGAGGAUUCUUAAGAUUUCUUGAAAUUUAUUAGUUGGAUUCAAGUGAAAGUUAUGUGUGUGUAUAGUUGACUUGUUUUCCUACAUAAAUAAGAAUUUUCAGAUCAAUUGAAUGGUGCAAAAGAGAGAUGUUAGCAUUGAAAGAACAAUAUUAAGGUUAAAAAGAAGGAGGCUAAUAUCUAAGCAGAUUUUAGGAUUUUUCUUCUAUUUAGUAAGUACAAUUGACUUCAAAUUUAUUGUACUUAUUUUUAAUUAAGAGAUUUAGAGGUGUAUAAAAUUUUAAAUAAAAUAAAAAAUUUAAUCAAAAGAUAUUAAGAUUUUAAAAUAUAUUAGGAUUUUAUUAAGAUUUACUUUAGGAUUUAGGAUUUGAUUAGGAUUUGAUUUAAAAUUUAGGAUUUAAAUUUUUUUAGGAUUUGAUUUAAGAUUCAAGGUUUGGUUAGGAUUUUAUUUAAAAUUUAGGAUUUUAUUUAGAAUUUAGGAUUUUUUUAGGAUUUGAUUUAAGAUUUAAGAUUUGAAUAGGAUUGGGUUUAGGAUUUAGGAUUUAUCUAGGAUUUUAUUUAGAUUUUAGGAUUUGUCUAGGGUUUGGUUUAGGAUUUAGGAUUUAUUUAGGAUUUGAUUGAAGUCCAUUAGGAUUAUAACUAAGAUUAAAUUAGAAUUUAAUUGAAAUUUAUUUAAGAUAUAUUGUGAUUAUUUUUAUAUUUUUUAGGACUUAUUAAGGAUUUUUUUUUAAGAUUU